rnacentral:lncRNA from 13 species
GGACCACUAUCUGAUCAUUUUUCAGCCAGAAGAAAAGGCAGCACAUGGGAUCUAGGCUCUAGGUGCUCAAUACCCGUGUGAAUCAAGAAUGCUUUCUGCAGGAAGUAAUAGAUUACCAGACUAACCACAAAGCAGAGUCCUCAGGUUCUUUAUCAUCUGAUUUACAAAGAAGUCUGGAGGUGGGUGGUUUUCAGGUAGGUCCAGUAGCCCAAUGAUAUCUUUGAAGACUUAGGAUCUUUUUCUGUCUUUUGCCUCUAUUCAUCCUUAACUGCUUCAUUUGCAUCCUCAUGCUGUUACCUCAGGUCUUCAAAAUGGCUGCUGAAACUCCAGAUACUUACUCAUCUACAUCCGAGGCAAGAAGGAAGGGGAAAGGGAAACACCAACAGCUCUCCUUCGAUGCAGGAAGAUAAUGAUAAGAGAGAGGGUCAGUGAUCUGCUCUGUUGCCAAACUCCCAAAUGCAGAACACUGGUCAUUUUAAGGCAAUGUUGCAAGUGUGGGAUUCCUGCUCUGCCCCAACAUGGUCCAGCGCACUUCCCUGCAGUGAGCCAGGCUGCACCCAAGAGGGCUAUGACUGCAAGGUUACUGCCUCCAUCCAUGGACUGGGCAUAGGCUUUUGCCAGGGGGAUUUCUAUUAUGUUUCUAGUAUUGUCUUUGAAAGUAC